rnacentral:rRNA from 1 species
UGGGGAAUAUUGGACAAUGGGCGCAAGCCUGAUCCAGCCAUGCCGCGUGAGUGAUUAAGGCCCUAGGGUUGUAAAGCUCUUUCACCGGUGAAGAUAAUGACGGUAACCGGAGAAGAAGCCCCGGCUAACUUCGUGCCAGCAGCCGCGGUAAUACGAAGGGGGCUAGCGUUGUUCGGAUUUACUGGGCGUAAAGCGCACGUAGGCGGACUUUUAAGUCAGGGGUGAAAUCCCGGGGCUCAACCCCGGAACUGCCUUUGAUACUGGAAGUCUUGAGUAUGGUAGAGGUGAGUGGAAUUCCGAGUGUAGAGGUGAAAUUCGUAGAUAUUCGGAGGAACACCAGUGGCGAAGGCGGCUCACUGGACCAUUACUGACGCUGAGGUGCGAAAGCGUGGGGAGCAAACAGG